rnacentral:rRNA from 1 species
UACGGAGGAUCCAAGCGUUAUCCGGAUUUAUUGGGUUUAAAGGGUGCGUAGGCGGAUUGAUAAGUUAGAGGUGAAAUGUCCGAGCUCAACUCGGGAACUGCCUCUAAUACUGUUGAUCUAGAGAGUAGAUGCGGUAGGCGGAAUGUAUGGUGUAGCGGUGAAAUGCUUAGAGAUCAUACAGAACACCGAUUGCGAAGGCAGCUUACCAAUCUAUAUCUGACGCUGAGGCACGAAGGCCAGGGGAGCGAAAGGG